rnacentral:rRNA from 1 species
UACAGAGGUCUCAAGCGUUGUUCGGAUUCAUUGGGCGUAAAGGGUGCGUAGGUGGCGGGGUAAGUCAGGUGUGAAAUUUCGGAGCUUAACUCCGAAACUGCAUUUGAUACUGCCUUGCUUGAGGACUGGAGAGGAGACUGGAAUUCACGGUGUAGCAGUGAAAUGCGUAGAGAUCGUGAGGAAGACCAGUGGCGAAGGCGGGUCUCUGGACAGUUCCUGACGCUGAGGCACGAAGGUCAGGGGAGCAAACGGG